AGGUCCAGCGUUAGGGACUAUUAAGCUUGUAUUCAAGUCUAAUGUAAUUGUUCCAAGUGAAUGUCACUUUUAUCCUUCCUUUUUAUUGAAUAUUAUUUCUGUAGGCCUUUUGGCCAGUACGAUUAUUGUUGGGUAUAAAAUAACCCCAGCUGAAGUUUGUAAGAGGCCAACCCUCCCAGGACUCUUCUGGCUUCCGACCUUGUGCGGCAUCUUUCUGAACUCCCCUGGCCGUCCGAGCUUCCAUAGUACUAUCCGGACUCCUCCAGCAGUC
rnacentral:lncRNA from 1 species